rnacentral:rRNA from 1 species
CCUACGGGUGUCAGCAGUGAGGAAUAUUGGUCAAUGGCCGGGAGGCUGAACCAGCCAAGUCGCGUGAUGGAAGACUGCCCUACGGGUUGUAAACCUCUUUUGUCAGGGAGCAAAGUGCAGGUCGGGACCUGCUGUGCGAGUACCUUACGAAAAAGCAUCGGCUAACUCCGUGCCAGCAGCCGCGGUAAUACGGAGGAUGCGAGCGUUAUCCGGAUUUAUUGGGUUUAAAGGGUGCGUAGGCGGAAUAUCAAGUCAUAGGUAAAAAUUCGGGGCUAAACCCCGUCGUGCAGUUGAAACUGAUGUUCUGGAGUGGGCGAGAAGGAGGCGGAAUGCGUGGUGUAGCGGUGAAAUGCAUAGAUAUCACGCAGAACUCCGAUUGCGAAGGCAGCAUACCGGCGCCCAACUGACGCUGAAGCACGAAAGCGUGGGUAUCGAACAGGAUUAGAUACCCUGGUAGUC